rnacentral:tRNA from 1 species
UUCUAAUUAGUAUAAAUUACAUUUCACUUACAUUGAAAAGAUAAAUAUUAGAAG